UACGUAGGGUCCGAGCGUUUGUCCGGAAUUAUUGGGGCGUAAAGGGCUCGUAGGCGGUUUUGUCGCGUCGGGAGUGAAAACAGCGGGCUUAACUCGUUGCUUGCUUCCGAUACGGGCAGACUAGAGGUAUGCAGGGGGAGAAUGGAAUUCCUGGUGUAGCGGUGAAAUGCGCAGAUAUCAGGAGGAACGACCGGUGGCGAAGGCGGUUCUCUGGGCAUUACCUGACGCUGAGGAGCGAAAGUGUGGGGAGCGAACAGG
rnacentral:rRNA from 1 species